CUGUGCCUACGGGGGGCAGCAGUGAGGAAUAUUGGUCAAUGGGCGGAAGCCUGUACCAGCCAAGUCGCGUGAGGGACUAAGGCCCUGCGGGUCGUAAACCUCUUUUGCCGGGGAGCAGUUGUCCGGACGCGUCCGGACCGGGAGAGUACCCGGAGAAAAAGCAUCUGCUAACUCCGUGCCAGCAGCCGCGGUAAUACGGAGGAUGCGAGCGUUAUCCGGAUUUAUUGGGUUUAAAGGGUGCGUAGGCGGAAUGCCAAGUCAGCGGUAAAAUCGCGGGGCUCAACCUCGCUCCGCCUUUUAAACUG
rnacentral:rRNA from 1 species